rnacentral:lncRNA from 1 species
GCGAGGAGGCCUCGGCGGCCCUUGGGCUCUGCGGGCUGGGGACUCGGGGUGCCCGCGACACGCGCGGAGGCGCGGGCUGGGUUGGCCACGGGCAGGGAGCGCAGCCGCGCUCCUUCCUCUCUGCCCGCGUCGCCUCCGCGCGCACUGGUUCUGCGCGGCGGGGCUUGGCCUGCGCGACUGUCUACUCCGUCCCGGCGGCCUCGGAGCCCGGCCGAGCGGCGAGCUUGUCAGAGGACGGUGGUGGAAACGCUCCCGGCCUCCCCAGGGGCGCGGGCUGGAGGCUGGCGCCAGGCGCGGAGGACUCCCGGUAUCUUUUGACAGGCUGGCGCCUCGGCUCUGGGGACCCGCAGGAAUCAGUUUAGACUUGAAAUUCAGUUUUUCCUGAAACUGAUCAGAAGUUAGUGACACCUUGAUUGGAUCCGUUUUUCUGUCAGGAGCUCAUUUUGCAGCUCUCAAGCUUUUAUAGCAUGCUGUAAACAAUUGUCAAAGUUGUUUAUCAAGAAACAGAUAGAGUUGCAACUUGUUUCUAGUAAUAGAAACUUUUACACUGCAUUCAAUGCCUAACGUUGCAGAAACAGAAAGGUCAAAUGAUUCUGGAAAUGGUGAGCACAAAUCUGAGAGAAAGUCACCUGAAGAGAAUCUACAAGGUGCUGUAAAAUCUUUCUGCACAAGUGCCUCAGGAGCACCCUUGGGUCCCAAAGGAGAUGGUCAUUAUCCAUGGAGUUGUCCAGUGACUCAUACACGGGAAAAAAUUUAUGCCAUCUGUUCGGACUAUGCCUUUCUCAACCAGGCGACCUCAAUCUAUAAAACUCCAAAUCCAUCCCGCUCUCCUUGCCUCCCUGAUAGUACCUCUUUAUCUGCUGGAAAUAAUUCAUCAAGAUACAUUGGUAUCCCGACUAGUACAUCGGAAAUUAUCUACAAUGAAGAAAAUAGCUUGGAAAACUUAUCCAACAGCCUGGGCAAGCUACCUCUCGCAUGGGAAAUUGAUAAAUCUGAAUUUGAUGGGGUGACCACAAAUUCGAAACACAAAUCAGGCAAUGCAAAGAAACAAGUUUCCAAGAGAAAAACUUCAGAUAAAAAGGGAAGAUAUCAGAAGGAAUGUCCUCAGCAUUCUCCUCUUGAAGAUAUUAAACAGCGGAAAGUAUUAGACCUCAGACGAUGGUACUGCAUAAGCCGACCACAGUAUAAGACUUCUUGUGGCAUCUCUUCAUUAAUUUCUUGUUGGAAUUUCUUAUACAGCACAAUGGGAGCUGGAAACCUUCCACCUAUUACCCAAGAAGAAGCUUUACAUAUUCUGGGCUUUCAACCUCCAUUUGAAGAUAUUAGGUUUGGUCCUUUCACGGGGAAUACAACACUUAUGAGGUGGUUUAGACAAAUUAAUGACCACUUCCAUGUAAAAGGAUGCUCUUAUGUUCUAUAUAAGCCUCAUGGGAAGAAUAAAACAGCAGGAGAAACUGCUUCAGGGGCCCUGUCAAAGUUAACCCGUGGAUUGAAAGAUGAAUCGCUGGCUUAUAUCUAUCAUUGCCAAAAUCAUUAUUUUUGUCCAAUUGGCUUCGAAGCAACCCCUGUUAAAGCUAAUAAAGCAUUCAGGGGACCUCUCUCACCACAGGAAGUUGAAUAUUGGAUCUUAAUUGGAGAAUCAAGUAGAAAACAUCCUGCCAUUCACUGUAAAAAAUGGGCAGAUAUUGUUACUGAUCUAAACACUCAAAAUCCAGAAUACCUGGAUAUCCGGCACUUAGAGAGGGGACUGCA